rnacentral:rRNA from 1 species
CACGUAGGGGCCAAGCGUUUGUCCGGAUUUUAUUUGGGCGUAAAGAGCGUGUAGGCGGCUAGGUAGGUCCGUUUGUAAAAACUCGAGGCUCAACCUCGAGACGCCGAUGGAAACCAUCUAGCUAGAGUCCGGAAGAGGAGAGUGGAAUUCCUGGUGUAGCGGUGAAAUGCGCAGAUAUCAGGAAGAACACCCGUGGCUAAGGCGGCUCUCUAGUACGGUACUGACGCUGAGACGCGAAAGCGUGGGGAGCGAACAGG